AUUCAAGUUUAAGAAUGCAUUCUAAUAAUUCACAAAUAUUUUUCAAAGUUUUCCUAAAGUGUAAAUAAUAAGUUAACUUAAAUAAAACAGUCGAACCAAAGAUCAUGUAAGAUCUAUGGAUCUUUUCCAAAAUCUUGAUGUUCAGGUUGAAUCCAGAAAUCGUGAUCUAAAGAAGCACAUGAAGAUCUAAUCAUCUAACUCUAUACUUGUUCCUCCUGUAUAUACAUACAUAUAUAAAUAUUUAAUCGAGCUUUACCUGAGAUUUUACUUGAGUUUAACUAAAGUUUUACUUUAAAUGUAUUAUUCUGGCCUAAAGUUUUAUAUCCUCGAGCUUAAUAAGCUUUUUUAUAACGUCUAGAUUUAUACUUUAAAAAAGAAGCCUGAAACAAAAUUAUAUUUAAUGGUCUAUGUAUUUCAGACCACAAUGGGCUAGAUAGCUGCCCUUUAUAUCCUGUUUAGUAAUCCAGGUUGUGCAAUACUAGAUCGUUCGUGCAUUUCAUCACCUGUCCUGAACUAUGAACUAAUGAAUUAACAGACCAAGUUCUUCUCUGAUAUAUCCUCGCCUCCUCUCGGAGAAGUCCCCUCGGAAGCAAUUAUGUUUCUCUAAACCGGGACUGCUGCUUUCGAGCAGAUAGAGAUCCCAUCAAUAUCCUCGCCUCCUCUCGGAGAAGUCCCGUCGGAAGCGUCUACCUUGCUUCUCUAAACCGGGACUGCUGCUACUAAGCAGAUGAAGGUGAAGAUUAAAUACGGAGCUGCUCUCAAGAUGAGAUCUAAUGUCUAACUUAAUCUUAUUUAGAUCUCAUCAUUGUCCUCGAGAUUGAGAUCUGAUGUUUAACUCAACCUUAUUCGGAUCCAAUCAUCA